rnacentral:rRNA from 1 species
CACGUAGGGGGCAAGCGUUGUCCGGAUUUAUUGGGCGUAAAGAGCUCGUAGGCGGUUCGAUAAGUCGGGUGUGAAACCUCCAGGCUCAACCUGGAGACGCCACCCGAUACUGUCGUGACUAGAGUCCAGUAGGGGAGCGUGGAAUUCCUGGUGUAGCGGUGAAAUGCGCAGAUAUCAGGAGGAACACCAAUGGCGAAGGCAGAUCUCUGGGCCGUAACUGACGCUGAGGAGCGAAAGCAUGGGGAGCGAACAGG